UACGUAGGUCCCGAGCGUUGUCCGGAUUUAUUGGGCGUAAAGCGAGCGCAGGUGGUUUAUUAAGUCUGGUGUAAAAGGCAGUGGCUCAACCAUUGUAUGCAUUGGAAACUGGUAGACUUGAGUGCAGGAGAAGAGAGUGGAAUUCCAUGUGUAGCGGUGAAAUGCGUAGAUAUAUGGAGGAACACCGGUGGCGAAAGCGGCUCUCUGGCCUGUAACUGACACUGAGGCUCGAAAGCGUGGGGAGCAAACUGG
rnacentral:rRNA from 1 species